CGGCUGGAUUGGAUACAGGUGUUGCAUGGCUGUCGUCAGCUCGUGUCGUGAGAUGUCGGGUUAAGUCCUUUAACGAGCGCAACCCUCAUUGCAUGUUAAUUUUUCAUGCGAGACUGCCCUGGUUAACAGGGAGGAAGGUGGGGAUGACGUCAAGUCAGCAUGGCCCUUACACCUUGGGCUACACACGUGUUACAAUGGCCGGUACAAUAAGUCGCAAUACCGUAAGGUGGAGCUAAUCUAUGAAAACCGGUCCCAGUUCGGAUUGGGGGCUGAAACUCCGCCCCCAUGAAGUCGGAAUCGCUAGUAACCGUGAAUCAGCACGUCACGGUGAAUACGUUCCCGGGUCUU
rnacentral:rRNA from 1 species